UGAUAUGUUGGUGGUCGUACUGUCUGUUGUUUUCUUUCCAAUAUGACGUCCUUUCGGACAUGGCUUUUCAGCUACCGAUCGACGACCUUUUUGUUAGAAACGGAUGCAACAGGUUACAUAAAACUUAAACCGGUUAACCUUUUAUUGUAACUGGAAUCGCGUGCUUUUGACACGACGGAGUAAAGGAUUUGGAAAUAAAGAUGUGACGGAAUCGAAGGCAUUGCUUCCCAAUGGUAUAGGGCCUCCGACCAGCUCGCUCCAGUCGCCUCGUGUAUUGCUGAUGCGUGUUCUGAAGUCUGCCUCCGUUCCUGCAUUUUUGUCCAGGAUGCUGCCGAUAUUAAGCUUUUCUCUAUCUUCCAACGCCCCGUAUUGGGCUGUGAUGUGUGUGCCGUUGAAUUCGUUGCUAUAAAACACAUUGCUUGUCCAUCUAUUGAUGAACAGACUAAUGCACUUGAGAUGGCCGCAACGAUCUUGGUCUGUUUUCAUUUGUUUUUGGGCGUGAGAGAGAAAAGCCAGAUCGUCGGCAAUGUCGAGGUCACCCAACUGCUUCCAAAGCAUUUGACAGGAUUCCGUUUUGCAUCUGGUCGGUCAGUUUCUUCGUGACCCAGUCUAUGGUCAGCAGGAACAGGAAAGAAAGCCUACACGAUGGCAACACAGGCUACAUCCAAGACAUCUGUCCAUUCCGCCGCUCCCCUGCUGCUAAGUCGUUGCAUUUCCGGUGUGACCUGAUAGUCAGCGGUCCCUCGUACUGAACAGGGCUUGAUGACACCCACUUCCGACCUGCGAGCAUGUUCAUCGAAUAAAAAACGGCAACGUUUAUGCAAGCAAUUCCAAAGACGCCAACGCUGCCAUAGACUUGAACGAUCCCAAAGACCCCAACGCUUCCAUAGACUUCAACAAUUCCAAAGACGUCAACGCUUCCAUAGACUUCAACAAUUCCAAAGACGUCGAGGAUUACACUGCCUUCAAGAUAAAAGAAACGUAACCGCCUAUAUAAACUCAAGAUGCACUGAUGUUUCCAUCGCAAACAGACACACCAUCGGAACUGUGCGAUCACGUGUCAUGUGAUGAAUCAUCGGAACUGUAAGAUCCAUGUCAUGUAAUGUACCAUCGAAACUGUGCGAUCACGUGUCAUGUGAUGUACCAUCAGAACUGUGCGAUCCAUGUCAUGUGAUGUACCAUCGUAACUGUGCGAUCACGUGUCAUGUGAUGUACCAUCGGAACUGUGAUAUCCAUGCCAUGUGAUGUACCAUCGUAACUGUGCGAUCACGUGUCAUUUGAUGUACCAUCGGAACUGUGCGAUCAAUGCCAUGUGAUGUACCAUUGGAACUGUGAGAUCCCAUGUCAUGUGAUGUACCAUCGGAACUGUGCGAUCCAUGUCAUGUGAUGUACCAUCGGAGCUGUGAGAUCCCAUGUCAUGUGAUGUACCAUCGGAACUGUGCAAACCAUUUCAUGUGCUGUACCAUCGGAACUGUGCGAUCACGUGUCAUGAGAUAUACCAUCGAACCUGUGGGAUCCCCUGUCAUGUGAUGUACCAUCGGAACUGUGCGAUCAGGUGUCAUAUGACGUACCAUCGGAACUGUGAGAUCCAUGUCAUGUGAUGUACCAUCGGAACUGAUAUCCCAUGUCAUGUGAUGUACCAUCGGAACUCUGCGAUCCAUGUGAUGUACCAUCGUAACUGUGCAAUCACGUGUCAUGUGAUGUACCAUCGGAACUGUGCGAUCCAUGUCAUGUGAUGUACCAUCGGCAUUGUGAGAUCCCAUGUCAUGUGAUGUACCAUCGGAACUGUGCAAUCCAUGUCAUGUACCUUCGGAACUGUGAGAUCCAUGGCAUGUGAUGUACCAUCGGAGCUGUGAAAUCCCAUGUCAUGUGAUGUACCAUCGGAACUGUGCAAUCCAUGUCAUGUGAUGUACCAUCGGAACUGUGCGAUCACGUGUCAAGUGAUGUACCAUCGAACUUUUGAGAUCCCCUGUCCUGUGAUGUACCAUCGGAACUGUGCGAACAGGUGUCAUGUGACAUACCAUCGGAACUGUGAGAUCCAUGUCAUGUGAUGUACCAUCGGAACUGUGAUAAUCCUAGUCAUGUGAUGUACCAUCGGAACUGUGCGAUCCAUGUGAUGUACCAUCGUAACUGUGCGAUCACGUGUCAUGUGAUGUACCAUCGGAACUGUGCGAUCAAUGUCAUGGGAUUUACCAUCGAAACUGUGAUAUCCCAUGUCAUGUGAUGUACCAUCGGAAUGUGCGAUCACGUGUCAUGUGAUGUACCAUCGGAAAUGUGCGAUCACUUGUCAUGUGAUGAACGAUCGAAACUGUGAGAUCCUAUUAUGCGACCUAUGUCAUGUGAUGUACCAUCGGAGCUAUGCGAUCAGGUGUCAUGUGAUGUACCAUCGGAACUGUGAGAUUCAUGUCUUGUGAUGUACCAUCGGAACUGUGCAAUCACGUGUCAUGUGAUGUAUCAUUGGAACUGUGAGAUCCCAUGACAUGUGAUAUACCAUCGGAACUGUGCGAUCAUGUGAUGUACCAUCAGAACUGUGAGAUCCGUGUCAUGUAAUGGACCAUCGGAACUGUGCGAUCACGUGUCAUGUGAUGUACCAUCGGAACGGAUCCCAUGUCAUGCGAUGUACCAUCGGGGCUGUUAGAUAACGUGACGUUUGAUGUACCAUCGGAACUGUGAGAUCCAUGUCAUGUGAUGUACCAUCGGAUCUGUGAGAUACCGUAUAUUGUGAUGUAUCUUCUACAUUACUGCUAUCACUGGUCAUGUGAUGCUUCGUCGACAAAACUUCCACCAUGUCAUUGGAACACAGAGACCACACGUUAUUGAAUGCAUCUACGUCAUCACACCUAUCACGUGUAAUGUGACGUACCAUUGCCAACACUGCUAUCACCUGCCAUGAGACUUACCAUCGACUACGCCGCCUAUCUCGUGCCGUGCGACGUGCAUAGAGCCCAUAUUAUUGGGAAUAACAAACUCAUGCAAAUAACAUAAAUAUUUAUUUUUCAAAUAGUUUUCGAACUUCGGUGAGUCAAAUAGCGCAUAGUUCGAUUUAACAAUUUCUGAUUUGAUAUAAUUUAAUAUAAAAUUUUGUCGUCUAAAUUCUAAAUGUCGUUUUUUAAUUCUUGAUUUUAUAUUUAUUUAAAAUGUACAAAUUCUUUCUAAAAAUUACACGACUCACCGAAGCUCGAGCUUGUAUUCGCUUAUUAAUUGAAAAUUGUAUUUAUCUAAUUACAUUUGGCAAAAUAUGCAAACAUCGUGCACAUAUCCCGUGGUCUAUGAUCAAACUAUUUACAACAAAUGCAACAGCCAUAUGCCAGACAACACAACUGGUAAAAAGGCAGGUUUGUUUAAAGAUUUAGGUUAGAUUCACUUUCUGAAUCCGAUUGAUUUAACAAUAUCGCAUUUAAAAUAUUCAAACGGAUAAAGGAUAUUUUGACGGAUAACUUUUUAAUGAAAAGUGAAUUCGUUGUACAAGGAGUGGACAUUGAAUCGUGCACGUGUUGGUGUGUUUGACGUCAGAAACCACGCGGUGUGUGCACUUCGGUUCUCUGGUAGUUUUAUUGAAAUAUCGGUAAGCUUAAUAAUAAACGGUCGCUCUUUACUCGAGCGGCGAACCGCGCGGAACUGAAAGACGGUUCCGCUAGCCUCGAUUCCCACAUAUCUACAGAAUAACGGCCCGGUGUUUGCUUUCUGAAUCCCAUUAAGCCGUGUGUCUUGUGUUUUGCUUAUUGCAUCCCAAAGAGCACUUUUGCAGGCAGUUGAAGAACCCAGAUUGAUUCAAGUGUAGUGCGGGUGAUUGGUAAUUAAAAAAUGUUGGUGAGAUUUAACUAAUUUGCAGAUUGCAUCAACAAGUUCUGUGUCUGAAUUCAUUUGGGGAUCAAACGGGGUCUAUGAGUAAUUCUUCAUGUUAGGGGCUCAUAUUUAUACAGAUCUUGUACAAUUUUAUCACCAUACAAAUAACUCCUUUGUCAGGCUUGUUUAUAAAAUAAUAAAUGCGUUUGAAUUCUCUCUUUCAAACAAAAGAAUAUAAUGCUUCAAAGAUAAAGCACUCGUGAAACCUUAAGCAUAUAAUAACACCUAGUGUUCUUUCCCUUUGAUGAAAAUUUUAAACAAACUGACGCCGUGUGUUUUUAAUUGUCCAUAUAUGGUAUAAUAUAUAGUGUGUCAGGGGAAAUGUCGGCAUGUGUAUGAGGAAAUUGUUUACUAAGGGAUAGAAUCCUGUCAACGGGAUGCUAAUUCAAGAAAAGAAAUAUUUGAAACAGUUUACAGAGAAAUUUCUCGAGCUGACAAAGCGGUUAUCUUAAAUACUUAUUUAACAUACUUUAAAUUACAACUUCAGUGCGGUGAGAAAACCCUUUUGAAGUUCGGCCGGUAAUUUAAUCGCUACCCAAGAUAAAGUGUGCUCUCCCAGGCUUUAUAUCUUCCUGGUCGCAUAAGUGCAAUGGCAUUGAACAUGAGCCAGAUCCUAUAAAUAAUUUUAAAUACCAAAACUGCUGGGUCGCACUAUUGAAAUUCGAUGUAAAGAUAAUGCAAAUAAAUCAUAUUUGCGUCAAUCUUGGGUUACAAUUUCUGCACAGUUAAGCAAACACAAAAGAUUAGUAAAUACAUGAACAAAUCUGUAUACCAGGCAUCUGAAGACGCAAUACUUAACUUGUAUUAUUUAAAUUGGAAGCAUGUUUUAUAAUUUUUAUCUGCGCGUGGGAAUUGAUUUAAACAAAUGCGCAAUAAGUCUGAGCACUAAAAAUGAACGUUUAAGCAGUAAGAGCAAAGAAUCAUACAUGCAAAUAAAUUGUAAUCAGAUGGCCAUAAAGAUGUGGCUAGGAUUUUAAAAAUCUUACACUGGUUUCAAUAUUACCUUUUUAUAAAAUAUUGCCUUAAUAGUACUGUUUGUCAAGGGCGCGAAAGUGUGCACACAAGUGUCAUAGUAUGUGACCUUGCUCUGAUAACCACAUUCUGUAAGAUCGGUAUUGUUCGGGUAUUGUCAAUGUGUUUUGUGAGUCUCAUUUUCUAAUGUAGUGGGUAUAAUCAAUUGGCUAUGUGGGUUUGGGUUCUGAUAUCGUGUGUAUAAUCACGGAUUCUGUCGAUUUUUGGUUCUGAUACAAAGGGUAUAGUCAGAGGGCUCUGUGGGUCUCGGGCUUUUAUAAAAAUGGUAUUGUCACCGGGUUGUAUGGGUCUCCUUUUCUGAUGUAAAGGGUACAGUCAGUGGGUUAUAUGGUUCUAGGUUUCUGAUAUAAAGGGCAUAGUCAGCGGAUUAUGUGUGUCUCGGGUUCAUAAGGAUAUAGUCACUGGUGUUUUUGGAUCUUGGGUUCUAAUAUAGGGGGCAAAGUCACCUAGCUCUGUAGGUCUUGAGUAUUUAUAUAGAGGGUUUAGUCCCAAGGGUUCUGUGGGUAUCGGGUACUGGUAAGGUGGAUUAAGCAACCGCCCUCCCUAUGUCUCGGGUUCUGAUAAAGUAUAUGUACUCACCAUGUUUUGUGGGUAUCGAAUCUGAGAAAGUGCGUAUACUCGCCUGCUUAUGUGGGCCUCGGUUCCUUACAUAGUGGCUCAAGUCACCGCUUAAAAUGUCUUUGGGUCUAUGGUUCUGAUAUAAUUGUUAUAGUCCCCGCGUUCUGUGGAUCUCGGGUUCUAAUGUGGGCUGACUCACCACACUGGUGGGUCGCGAGGUCCGAUUAAGUGUGUAUAGAAACCACUUUCUGUGGGUUUUUGGGUAUAUGCAAUGUAUGGUACCUGGUUUUGAUAAAGCUAUUAUGAACAAGACAUGUGUCAAUAGGGCACAGAUGGCCCCUCAUUCCACUUUUGUCUCAAAUCUCCAUGCCUUUUACUUAGUAUAAAUAGAAGCUCUCCUUUGGAUUGUAUCCCUUUAACAAUAUUAAUUCCCUUGUCGAAAAUAGACAGUGUACCAGCCAAAUAACUAGUCACCCAAUUUUAAUAAGGGGCAUAUGUACUGUCUAAUGCGAUUGUACAUGUAAAGUAUCAAGCCGAUCGGUCAAUGCGUUGACGAGCUAGUGAUCGGAAACGAUUUACACACUAAUUGUGACUGUGACCUUUGACCUAGUGAACCCAAUUUCAAUAGAGGUCAUCUACUGGCCGAUUGGUGAAUCAGUUGACGAGUUAUUAAUCGGAAACGAUUUCACACUUUGAGUGACUGUGACCGAGUGACCCAAUUUUGAUAGGGUCAUCUACUGUCCAACGCCAAUGCACAUGUAGCCAAUUGGUCCAUCCGUUCACAAGUUAUUGGUCGGAAACAAUUAUAAUUCUAAGUGUGACCUUAACCUUUGACUGGGUGACCCCAAUUUCAAUAGGGACCAUCUGCUGGCAAAGCCCAAUGCACAUGGAAAGUAUCAAGCCAAUUGGACAAUCCGUUCACAAGUUAUUGAUCGGAAACGAACUGAUCUACCGACAGGCCGACCGACAUACAACAAAACAAUAUACCCCCUCUUCUUCGUCUUCUUCGAAGGUGCAUAAAACACCGUAUAAUGGUAUCGGGUUCCGACAAAGCGAGUAUUGAUACAACAGUCUGUGAGUUUCGGGUUCUGAUAUUGUUUGUUUUGUCACCAUUGUCUGUUUCCAAUAUAGCGGGUACGUGGGUUUCAUCUUAUGAAAUAGCGGGUAUAUACGCACUCCGGGAUGAUGGUCUCGAGAUCUGACAUAGUAGGUAUGAACAUAACGAUAUAUAUAUAUGCCUCGUGUUCUUAUUUAGUUUGUCAAAGGUUAUAAUUUACACAAAGAAAAUUACAAAUGCUACCAUAACACAAAAACAAGAACUGUUUGUAAAACAUGCAUGCCCCCCAUAUGGGCUGUCAGUUGUAGUGGCAGCCAUUUUGUGAAUACGUUUUUUGGCACUGUUACCUUGACCUUUGACCUAGUGACCUGAAAAUCAACAGGGGUCAUCUGCGAGUCAUGAUCAAUGUACCUAUGAAGUUUCAUGAUCCUAGGCGUAAGCUUUCGUGAGUUAUCAUCCGGAAACCAUUUUACUGUGUCAAGUCACCGUGACCUUUGACCUAGUGACCUGAAAGUCAAUAGGGGUCAUCUGCGAGUAAUGAUCAAUGUACCUAUGAAGCUUCAUGAUCCUAGGCGUAAGCGUUCUUGAGUUAUCAUCCGGAAACCAUUUUUCUAAGUUGAGUCACCGUGACCUUGACCUUUGACCUAUUGACCUGAAAAUAAUUAGGGGGCAUUUGCGAGUCAUGAUCAAUGUACCUAUGAAAUUUCAUGAUCAUAGGCAUAAGCGUUCUUGAGUUAUCAUCCGGAAACCAUUGUACUAUUUCGGGUCACCGUGACCUUGACCGUGUGACCUGAAAAUCAAUAGGGUUCAUCUGCGAGUCAUGAUCAAUGUACGUAUGAAGUUUCAUGAUCCAAGGCAUAAGCGUUCUUGAGUUAUCAUCCGGAAAUCAUUUUUACUAUUCCGGGUCACCGUGACCUUGACCUUUGACCUAGUGACCUGAAAAUCAAUAGGGGUCAUCUGCGAGUCAUGAUCAAUGUAUCUAUGAAGUUUCAUGAUCCUAGGCAUAAGCGUUCUUGAGUUACCAUCCGGCAACCAUUUUACUAUUUCGGGUCACCGUGACCUUUGACCAAGUGACCUGAAAAUCAAUAGGGGUCAUCUGCGGGCCAUAAUCAAUGUACCUAUGUAGUUUCAUGAUCCUAGGCAUAAGCGUUCUUGAGUUAUCAUCCGGAAACCAUUUUACUAUUUCGGGUCACCGUGACCUUUGACCUAUAGACCUAUUGACCUCAAAAGCAAUAGGGGUCAUCUGCAAGUCAUAAUCAAUGUACCUAUGAAGUUUCAUGAUCCUAGGCCUAAGCGUUCUUCAGUUAUCAUCCGGAAACCAUUUUUCUAAGUUGAGUCACCGUGACCUUGACCUUUGACCUAUUGACCUGAAAAUAAUUAGGGGGCAUUUGCGAGUCAUGAUCAAUGUUCCUAUGAAAUUUCAUGAUCAUAGGCAUAAGCGUUAUUGAGUUAUCAUCCGGAAACCAUUGUACUAUUUCGGGUCACCGUGACCUUGACCUAGUGACCUGAAAAUCAAUAGGGUUCAUCUGCGAGUCAUGAUCAAUGUACCUAUGAAGUUUCAUGAUCCAAGGCAUAAGCGUUCUUGAGUUAUUAUCCGGAAAUCAUUUUUACUAUUCCGGGUCACCGUGACCUUGACCUUUGACCUAGUGACCUGAAAAUCAAUAGGGUCAUCUGCGAGUCAUGAUCAAUGUAUCUAUGAAGUUUCAUGAUCAUAGGCAUAAGCGUUCUUGAGUUAUCAUCCGGAAACCAUUUUACUAUUUCGGGUCACCGUGACCUUUGACCAAGUGACCUGAAAAUCAAUAGGGGUCAUCUGCGGGUCAUAAUCAAUGUACCUAUGAAGUUUCAUGAUCCUAGGCAUAAGCGUUCUUGAGUUAUCAUCCGGAAACCAUUUUACUAUUUCGGGUCACCGUGACCUUUGACCUUUUGACCUCAAAAGCAAUAGGGGUCAUCUGCGAGUCAUGAUCAAUGUACCUAUGAAGUUUCAUGAUCCUAGGCCUAAGCGUUCUUGAGUUAUCAUCCGGAAACCAUCUGGUGAACGGACGGACAUACGGACGGACCGACAUGAGCAAAACAAUAUACCCCCUCUUCUUCGAA